AUUAAACAAUCCCAAUGACAUAACAUCUGACUUAUCAACUCUACGAAUGGAUCAACAAGUCUAUAGAGACUAAUUUAUGUCAAAAUACGAACAAAUAAAAUGAAAUUAUGUCAAAAUUUCUAUUACCAUAUCAGGGUGCAAAGGAAUAUGGCAUGGGCUAAUAUCCUCUGUCAUAAUUUCUCCUUUCAAAAUGAUAUGGAAUAUUGUGUAGUACGUACCUUUUGUUGGCUUCUUUAUGCACUUGAUUUCAGGUUCCGUGUCAUUACUCAUCUUUAGCCCGCAUUUCUCACCUUCUUCUUUGCAAUUUCCACACAAAGGUUUUGACCAAUUCAUAGAAAAUCUAGAUUCCCCAUAUGCUAUAUUUAAUGGGAGUGAAGUGUCGGAAAUCUAGCAAGCAAAAUAAAUUUAUAAAUAAAUUAAAAUAGACAUCAUUCCUCAUGCUUAUGUUUGGAAUUUAUAUAUAAAUUCCAAACAUGGAUGACUCCAUGUCAUGAGCUUAGGGCUCUAGAUGGUAGGGAAAGCUCAAGAUUGUGGAUAAGAUGAAUGACUUCAGGUCGUGAGCUCAGGACUCUAGAUGUUAUGAACGGUUCAAAGUUGUGGUUGACAUGAACGACUUUGGGUUGUGGGUUGAGGACUCUAGACGCUAUCAAUAGCUUAAGUUUGUGGAUCACAUGAACGACUCCAGGUCGUGAGCUCAGGGCUCUAGAUACUGUGAAUAGCUCAGGCCUAUGGUUGACAAUAACGACUUCAGGUCGUGAGCUCAAGGAUCUAGAUGCUAUGAACAGCUCAGGGUUGUGGAAGAUAUGAGCUACUCCAGAUCGUGAGCUCAGGG
rnacentral:lncRNA from 1 species